CAGCAUGGGUUUUUGUUGCCCUGCGCAGCAGUUGAAUUGACCUUCCCCUUCCUUAAAAGUAACAUAGCUUCAACAUCUGUUUGCUAAUAGUCCCAAGAGGCCGCGCUGUGAGGUUCAUACGUCCCACACACUCUACGUUAUACCACUGGCUGAGUUCAUAAGUUUAACUGGAAACUCACUUGUUUUCCCGUGAGGAAGUUGGCGUUUUGUUUUCUGAAAACGGGGCAAUUUUUUUUUUAAUAUUCACACACAAUAUUCAGUUAAGGCAUUGUCUAAUGUCCUUGAUUCUUAUUAUUACAAGUUCUAGUAAUGCAGUCAGAUAGCACAUAUAUUUCAGAAAGUUACUGACCGAUUCAUUAAAUGUAAAAUAAUCUUAAAGCAAUAGCUAUCUUCAACAGAUAUGAAUAGGAACAAAAAAAAAUCUGCUUGGAGAUGUCAACUUACAUUUAAGCGAUUUCAACACGGAAUCAGAAGCAGGGAACACACUUUCUCUAUCAUAACAUCACCCCGCUUGUGUUAUUUUGUCAACAAUUCUACUGAUCUUGAAAUUCAAAUAAUUCUCUCACCGAAUAGUAGUUAUUUAUUUCAUUUGGGGAACAUCCUGAAUCCAAGGAAACUGGUGAACGUUCGCAUCCGCAAUAACGCUAAUGGGGCAUUCUUUCGCUAUGAAUAUAUAAAUUGGUCACCAAAAAAAAUUGAAAGAGAUUAAAAGUGAAGGUAUUUAAUAAUCUGUAAUAAUCGGCAGUGCAAUGAAAGCGGAAGGAUCUAUACUUUCCGUGAAAUUCCUAAUACUGAAUGUAUUUGUAAUUUGACGUAAUGCGGUAGAUUGCCAGAAUCGUUAGAUUAUGGAAAUAAAUGCCUUGCGGUAUUACUUUCGGCUCUUUACGUUCUGAGUUCAAAUCUCGCUGAGGUUGACGUUAAAAUAAAGUACCAAACAAUUACUGGGCGGAUGUAAUCGUCUGUUUUUUUCCCCCUGUGUUUCUAACCUUGUGCUUAUUUCGAAGCAACAACUUUGGUGGAGCGAGUUUUAAAAUAAUACUCAGUAAUUCAAUUUGCAUAUUCUCCCGAUUAGCAAAACACAUUGGCUGAUCCCAAUACUUCAGUCAAUUAUAAAUUUAAUCCAUUGAUGCAAGAAAUUCAGUUGCACAAUAACUAUUACGAAUCAUGCGAACAUUUCGUUCGAAGUAAUGGCAAUCCUUAAAUUUAGAACAUCACUUUCAUUUUUUUCCAAACUAUUAAUUAACCAAAGUGAAAGUAAGUACUGAUGUCGACUGGUUCGAAAAGACGGUACCUCAGCAUGACUGCAGCCCAAUGGCUGAAACAAGUAAAAGAUAUACAUCAGAACAAGAUUUAUGCAUCGGAAUAAAAAUUUACAAAAUAUGUAAUUACACGGGGCAAGCCUAGACUCCACCAUACACGCCGAAACAGAGAAUCUCCGCGUAAAUGUUCCAAUAUUGUAUAUAGAUCGAGGAG